ensembl:lncRNA
GGCAAAAUUCUCUUUAAUUGGCAUACUUUAAGAACUCCGUACAGAUCAGAUUUUAGGUGAUUUAUUUAAAUGUCUUUUUCUCUGAAGAAAAUGAUAUAUCAGCUUCUUUCUCGUUUCAACUAGCUUGUAUACACUUUUUAAAGUCAGUAUUAUUUUAAUUUUUAACUUUUUCUAAUUCAUUUAUCAGAGUUCUUUAGAGAUACCAUUUGAAAGCAUCUGUGAAGCCAAGUCAGCAAUACCCAGACUUCAACAACAAGAAUAUAAAUUAAGAAGAAACCCCAGAUCUCAAUUAUCACAGUGGCCUUCUGGAAGGAUGGGCGGAGAGGACUUUGGGCCUGCAUCUGGACUUAGCUGAAAAGUGCUCUCUGAUAGAGAAGCCGUGUUUGCUGAAGAGUUGUGGCGAGGAUGCUUUCCAUUUGCUGACCUUGGACUGGGUGUCAUCUUUAGCAUCAAGUGCUAGCACACCUGUGAAGAAGAUGCAAUUUGUCAUCCGUGCCUGUUGCCAAGUGUUCUCUGCUCUCAAGAUCUUCUGUAACUGAGUAUUUAAACCUGCCCUUCUCAAGCAGUGUUAAAAAUGAUAGCUUGUCUUAUAGAUACUUUUAUUAGGAUUCUACUUUGCCAAAUGACCAGCAGACUAAUCUCCCAUUUGGGAUGGUGAGGUGGGUUACACUACAUUCUCCAGUGGGUCUGUAAAAAACUCUGGGCUUGAAGUAAAUAACUCAAUAAUGAUAAGCACCAAGAGUUGCUAGGGAAAAUAGGUAUUUCUGUGUUCAUCAAAGUGGGCAUCUUUCUAUUCUGUCUCUCUGAGAGAUUGACACUGCUUUUAAGGUCAACUUUAGCACCAUGUUUUAGUAAUAAAAUCAUUUCUUUCUCAGAAGGUAAAUGGUUUUAAGGCUUUCAGUGGAGGAGGCACUAAAUGAGCUUUCAACUAAACUUUGGUGUCUUCAAAUAAAUUCAAGCUCAAAGCCCCUUACAUUCAAACCUUAAGCAUCAGGUUUCAGGUCUCUGUAUUUGAAUUAAAAACUCUAAACCCUAAAAACCUGAAGCCAUGGCCAUGUAUAUCUUUUCAUCAUUUUAUCCCAGGAAUGAUCAUAGUGGCUGGGUAUAUAGUGAUCAAUAAAUGUUUUUGCCCCAGCAGUCUAGAAGGUUAGCAACACCAAGGGAAAUUGCUUAAGAGGGCUAAUCAGAGCUCUGCUUCAGUCAUAUAACAUGUCUACCAUGCAUUCAUGGCUGUUACAAAAAUUCAGGGUCUAACAAUUCUAACAUAUUAGCAGUCCAUUGUCACACUGAUUUUUAUUUCCUAAUGGAAUAUUAGAACUUUCAUUGCUUGAUAGAUUGGCAUUGGUGUCCAAAUUGUCAAAUGUUAUGACAUGAAGUUAUAAGCCCUUAUGGAGGAGAAGAAAAGCAGCACCCUAAAACCACAAGCAGCCAUUUAAAAAAAUACAAUUACUCUUUAGAAUUUUUAUGACCAUUUAUUUAAGUUCUAAGAAUUUUUAAAGUGAUAUGUAAAAACACCAUAAUGUCACAACUUUAAAUCAGAUUUUAAAUGAACCCCUUUGUAAAGAAGCAGACGUUAUUAGGUCAAUAACCUCUUUACUCUUCUCUGUUGUUAAAGUGAACUAAAUAUGGCCUGAGAAGGACUCUGUACUUCUAUAUUUGAGUCCUUGUGGACAAACUGCAACAUAGCUUAAUAGCUAGACAAGAUUGAAAACCUAAUUUAGGAUUAUGUGCUUGUAACUGAGUCUUGACCAAUCCCAGUGGCAGUACUUCAACCAUUCAUACAAUGCUGAGUGUCCAAACUGUGCAAAAAUAAGGCAAACGCCAACUUGUAACUAAUUCAGCUGUUCUGUACCUCAAUUCCAAUUUCUGUACCUCAUUUUCCUUAUUUUGUCUAUAACUUUCUUCCACCACGUGGCUACACUGGAGUCUCUGUGAAUCUGCUGUGGCUCUGGAAGGUGCCCAAUUCAUGAAUCAUUCAUUGCUCAAUUAAACUC